GUCAGGAUGGCCGAGCGGUCUAAGGCGCUGCGUUCAGGUCGCAGUCUCCCCUGGAGGCGUGGGUUUGAAUCCCAUUUCUGACA
rnacentral:tRNA from 1 species